ensembl:lncRNA
AUAUGUUUUGUUGAUGAUGGAGAACUUUGAAAAGAAGUUUUGUUUUGUUUUUAAAUACACCCUCAUAGAUCCAAUGCAGUUGAGACGGCGACCAAAGCCAAUUUCCCUAGAAACGCCAAAUCAAAAACACGUGGUGAGGCUCUGACCUGGAGUGCUUCAUCCUAAAUAACGCAUUUUAUAAACCCUGAAAAAUAAAAAGACUCAAAAGAACAUUCUGGGCCCGCACGGCUGCUUUUCAUCCCUUUCAUCACUAGGUGUCCCCGUGGUUAGCAAAUCCCAUCUGGAAUGCUGCGUCCUUGUACAUCCUUCCUGGAAGGCAGGUGGGGGAUAGUCAGCCACACUGGGGGCGCUUUUUGCCCGGUGGGGCGGGGAGGGGGCGGGGCUUCCUGAAGGGGCGGGGCUUGUGUGCGGGCAGAGCCACUCAUCUGACACAGAGGAGGAGCCAUCCUUGAACUGACAGGCCUGGGUGGAAUCAGCAUGGAGAGACUAAAACGUGAAAGGAACACUGUCAGAAACCAAUUUCCACCGCAGGAAAUGAGCGUGGCCUAGAAUAGAUGCAGAGCAUGAUUAAACUGCAGGACGGGCUCGGGAGGGAGGCUGAGCGGGCACUCAUCUCCCGGGAGGCGCCCCAGACCUACGCUGGGGCCACUGCUGAGUCAGAUCCCCGGAGGCGGUUCUUUGCAGAUGUCGCAGAGAAACAGGAUGCUGUGAGUCUUUUUGGUUCACAAAACAAGAUCCUUUGGAACAAGACAUGCGAUAUUGGAUCUAUACACUGAAUGCCAGGAUGUGACCGACUGGGAAGCAAUGUUGGACUAGGCAUGUUCGGUGCAGGAGCCAGGAAGUUAUAUAACAAAUGAACAUCUCUCUGGCUCAAGGGGCAACUGCAGCAUGCGCAGCACUGGCAGUGGUGCCUCAGAGGUGGCAGGACUAUUUCACACUGACCAGUUUAGGACUACACAAGGUUACCACCAUCCAGCAUCAGGAUGUAGCUGUAGGACUUUACAAACCGCUCCUAUUUCUGGCUUCAGGAAUUGAGGUUUUUCCCAGUCCAUCUUAAAGUAUGACUGCUUUCAUCACAGAUCGGAUAAAACGGACAGCAUGCACAACCUCCAGCUAAAAUCCUGUUGUGGCCUAGACAGUGAAAUGGUGUGACCUCAGAAGACUUUAAAACUGCAGCUCUUUUUGGAUCCCCCGAAGUAUAUCCACACUCUUCUUCAAACGAGCCUCUUCCUCAGGAGUCAGAGUCACCUUCACAACGUCUGAGAUUCCAUUCUGUCCCAAAAUGCAGGGAACACUAAGGAAGACAUCAUCCUUUAUUCCACAGAGACCCUUAAUCAUGGUGGAAAUUGGGUGCACCCGCCUAAGAUUCUUCAUGAUAGUCUCAGCCAAAUCUGCCACAGAGAGUCCAGUGGCCCAGGAUGUGUAGCCUUUGAGUUUGAUCCCCUCAUAAGCACUCUCAGCUACCUGCUUGUGCACCUCUUCCCACUGUUCCUUAUCUGGAUCAGUCCCUAAAUCUGGGUGCAGCGUCUUCAGGGAGACACCAGCCACAUUCACUCCACUCCACACAGGCACACUGGAAUCUCCAUGUUCCCCGAGGACCCACCCAUGACAGCUUAAUGGGUGAACUCCCAGCCUUUCCCCCAUCAGGUAAUGGAAUAAGGCUGAAUCUAGAUUGCAACCACUUCCAAUAACACAGUUUUGGGGAAAGCCACUUAUCUUCCAAGCCACAUAGGUCAAGAUAUCCACUGGAUUUGAAACAAUAAGCAACUUGCAGUGCGGGCUGUAUUUUACGACAUUAGGAAUGAUGAGUUUAAAGAUGUUCACGUUAAGCUGGACCAGAUGAAGACGGCUUUCUCCCUCCUGCUGAUGUGCCCCGGCGUGGUAAUGACCAGCUUGGAGUUUGCAGUUACAUUAUGGUCUUUGCCAGAGACAAUCUUUGGCAAAGGCUGCCAUGUUGGAGAUCCAUCUCUCCCUUCAACUUGUCUUCAAUGACAUCAACAAGAGCAAGUUCAUCUGCCAGGUCCUUCGUUAAGAUACCGAUGGCACAGGCCAUACCGACAGCACCAACCCCAACAACUGUAAUCUUAUUCUGGGGGGUCUGUUCUUCCUUUAGAAGAUUAUGAAUCAGCUGAUCCUUGAGAGUUGCCAUUUUGGACUUGGAACGAAAAGGAACCAGGAAUGCACGUCGGGCGGGCAUCGGGGGCGCACAGCAGUGGGAUCCGGACUCGGCGGCAGCUGCUCUAGCCAAAAGUACUUAACUUUAAAAGAUCAGCCUCAAUUCACAUUCCCGUCAUUUCUCUACCUCCAGGCAGCAUAGGCCCUCACGCGGGGAAUGGAAACAAAUAUGAUGUAAGCAACUCACAAACUCAGACUUUGAAACGACCCACUGUUCUCCAAGCACAGGUUCAUUCUCCACUCAUUUCCCUGUGACUGGAAGUCACAACUAUUUCUGAAAUGGAAGCAGGUGACAUGCACCCCGUGAACCGAUAGUCAGUGACUGAUAGUGAGUGCUGACUGUAUCCAGGCAAAAGAGCGGAGAGACGUCCUCUCCUCAAGGUUUUCUGAAAGGAUGUGGGCCACCAGCUGCCAUCGCAGUUCACUGUUCACAGUUGCUGAAAGAGGGCAUGACGUUUUUGCUGUCUUCCAUUCAUGGUACCACAGCAGAGAACAAUCCAUUCGGUUUAACCAACGCUAACGCAUAUGUUCAUUGCCUGUGAAUCAGACUUAGUAUUGAAGGUUAAAUUAAAAUCUGACUCUCAACUAUCUCACUGCACUCCGGCGCUUCUGCUCAGCUAAAUCCAUAGACACGAGUAGAAGGAAAUUUGGACUUUAGUUAAUCUAGUAGUUACCAGGGUUUUGGAUCUCACAGGCUGAUAAAUUUUAUAAAAAAGAUUUGGGGCCAGGUGCGGUGGCUCACGCCUAUAAUCCCAGCAUUUUGGGAGACCGAGGUGGGUGGAUCACCUGAGGUCAAGAGUUCAAGACCAGCCUGGCCAACAUGGUUAAACCCAUCUCUACAAAAUUACAAAAAUUAGCCAGGUAUGAUGGCAGGUGCCUGUGAUCCUAGCUACUGAGAUUGUGCCACUGCCCUCCAGCCUGGGUGACAGAGCAGGACUUAUCUCAAAAAAAAAAAGAAAAAAAAAAGGUUUGAAGACCUGUAUUGAGUUGCUUUUUAUUCACUCAAAUGGAGUAAUUAGAACACGUAUCACCCAUCUCACCGCCGUGAUAGAAUUCACAUGCGAAGUAAAUUAUAACAAAACAGAACUUCUCAGCAUUUUAAUGAAAAUAAAUUAGCUUUAGGACAAAAUCAUUACUUUCUUGUUGUGGUGGUUUUCUUGUUUCUACAUCAACCUGUGAAAAUGGAUAUUUUUCCACAGUCCAGCACCAGUUCUUGCACUAGAAUUUGAGAACCCCUGACUUAAAUCAGUGAUUUACAUCCCUCCUGCCCUUAUUUACAAAGGAGGAAGCUGGCCCUGAGGGGACCCCAAGCGCUGCCCCAUGAAAGGUUCCAGCCCACAGUGCAGAAUAGCCCCGGUUGGGGCUGAGGCUUCUGAACCCACGUUCAAUGCACCUGCCCUCUGUCUUGUUGCCAUGAGUCCCUGCAGGGCCCAACGAGGGCACCCAACACUCCAGUUACGUGACUGGCACCAUGCCAUCUGGGAACACUGAAGGAGGAUGGCUGAGGGACACAGGAGGAGAAACAGGGGGACCUGUCCCUUUCUCCAGCCCACAAGCCCUGGGCUGGAUUCUGAGAUGGGCUCUUCCUCCUGACGGCAAGCCUCGAUCUUCAGGUACUCUUUAGUUGGGCACAUUGAGGCUUUCAGACCAUUGGGAAAUAUUUUGUGUACUACUAAUUCUUACAAUGUCCAUUCCUCUGCCUCCCUCUCCUGCGUGAAGACUGGCCGUUAUUACCCACAGCAGAAGACUGAAACUGAGGCUGGCACUGUGGCAUGACCGCCCAGCCUCCUCCGAGCUGGUGCUUCUGCCUGGCUCUUGCAAAUACACAGCCCUUGCUUGCCCCCAACACAGCACUGCUUUCAGUGAUGGCAUCUUUUUCUUUUUCUUUUUUUUUUUUAGAUAAAGACAACUAAAAAAUAGCUUGGGUAGGUAAGCCGUAGACAAUGCUGAAAUUCUGUAUAUGCAAAGGAAUGGAUGUCUUCAGUUGGGUGUAUCCACACAACAAAAAAGAGAUGUGAUUUAAAAGAUUUGGAUUCAGGGAUAUCCUUGUCCAGUUACCAACCAGUUAUUCUAGGGGAACCCCCUCCCUAAGUUUGGAAAAAGAAUCGGGAUACAAAGGAUAGGGCCUUUUCUUCCUGCCAAGCAGUGUGUGUUCUUCCAGCUUAGAGGGCAGGAGGUCUCAACGCAUGCCCGGGGCCAAGGCCGAGCUCCCCCAAAAUCCUCAGGAGGGCGGGGACCAGUGAACCUGCCCACUGCUCUUCUGCACGCCCUGCUCCCUCCACACACACGUGCCCUGUCCAUUUGUGCAUUUGAGCAUCUGUGGUAAGACCUCUGAGUAAUUCAAAGAGGAAGUCAGAGAGCAUGCUCCAAACCCGUGCCCUGGGUUGGCCUGUCCCUCUCAAGGCUCUUUCCCAGGCAGGAAAUCUUCCUCACCUUCUGGUCUGAGGAUCAUGGAAAGAAGGACUCUUCUGUGUGCUCCACUGUUCUGCUGAAACAAGCCACCUCUGUGCUGGGAGAAAGGAACCCAUGGGUGUCGACGGCUUCAUUUCUGGGCACACGGGGGCUUCUUGGCUUCCCCAGGCAGGAUGUAGAGCACACUGGGGACUAGCCCCAGUUCCAGAGGAGCGAUGGUGUCCCUAAGUGCCUGCUUGCGCUUCCAGGAUGUAGCCUCUUCUCCAGAAGAGGAGGAGGAGCUCACCAACCUUCGAUAUUGUAAUGGGCCAAAUCAUGUCCCCAGAAUUCCUAUGUUGAAGCUCUAGGCCCCAGUACCCCAGAUUGGGACUGCAUUUGGAGAUAGGCCUUU